rnacentral:rRNA from 1 species
UCUUAGCUGUAAAUCUAAUAAAGUUUACCAGAGUACUAUGAAUUAUUUAAUAGUUUAAAACUCAAAGGGCUUGGCGGUGUUUUAGACCAUUUAGGGGAACCUGUCUCAUAAUCGACAGUCCACGUUAUACCUUUCCUUUAUUUGUUAUCAGUUUGUAUACCGUCGUCGUCAGGUAACUUUUAAAAAAUUGGAAGUUAGCAAAAUAAUUAAAAUUAAUUAAGACGUCAGAUCAAGGUGCAGCUUAUGUAAAGGUGAAGAUGGGUUACAAUUAUAUAAUUAUAAGUACGAACUACUAAAUUAAAACCUAGAAAUGAAGGAGGACUUAAAAGUAAAAUGAAGUAUAUAAAUAGUUUGAAUAAGGCUCUGAAACGUGU